AGAUCUGUCCCCUGCAGUGGCAUACGAGGUUCUUGAGGGCAAAGACUAUAUCUACAUUAAUCCUGUCCCAGUGUCCGGCCAAUAGAAGACAUGCAUGAGAUUUGGUGCCGUGACUCGGAUCAGGAGACCUCCCUUGGGAGAUCAAUCCCCUGUCCUGCUGCUCUUUGCUCCGUGAGAAAGAUCCACCUACAACCUCAGGUCCUCAGACCAACCAGCCCAAGAAACAUCUCACCAAUUUCAAAUCUGAUCCCCAGCCAUAUGGAGACAUCCUAGCUGGAUGAUCAGUUCUUGUUAAGAAUCUGACCCCUCAAACUCUACAACCUCGAUGGACCGGAUGCUACCUCGUCUUCUAUAGUACCCUGACUGCCGUCCGCCUGCAGGAUCCUCCCCACUAGGUUCACCAUUCCAGAAUAAAGCUGUGUCCAUCGGA